UACGUAGGGGCCGAGCGUUGUCCGGAGUUAUUGGGCGUAAAGCGCGCGCAGGCGGCCUCGCGCGCCCGACGUGAAAGCCCCCGGCUUAACCGGGGAGGGUCGUUGGGGACGGCGGGGCUUGAGGGCGGGAGAGGUCGGUGGAAUUCCCGGUGUAGUGGUGAAAUGCGUAGAGAUCCGGAGGAACACCAGUGGCGAAGGCGACUUCCUGGCCCGUUCUUGACGCUGAGGCGCGAAAGCUAGGGGAGCAAACGGGG
rnacentral:rRNA from 1 species